GUGCGAGUAAGUUUGUCCGAAUAAUGUGUGUCACGUUUGAUUUUGUCAUAUAUUGUUAAAAUGAAAAGUGUAAUUGUUUUUGUGUGUGUGUGUUACAUAGUGUACUUAUUGAUGCCAAGGUCAUUUAGUUUUGAAAUAUUUAAAUAAUUAGUAGUAUUGAUUAAGUAGUAAGGAUUCUAUAGGUUUGAAAAAGUGAAAAUAAAUAUUGUAUAAUACAAAUGAUAUUGAAACUAAAUAUAUGGUGUAUUAAGGUUUAGGUUUUGUUUUAACUGUGAGUUUUGUAGAAUUGGAUUUGUUAAAAUGAAGAGGGAGGUGAUUUUAAAGGGAUAUGAGACUGGUGGGUACGUAACAUGGGUUUCAUUGUCGGAUGUCUUUAGUUGCUCUCUUGAUUAGAGAAUAGUGUUAGGGAUUGUCGAACUGCUUGGUAAACAUCGAUGUGCAAUAUUUAGUUGCUCUCUUGUAUUAUAGUGGUUUCUUUGCGUAGUUUGGAUAGUGGUUAGGAGUUGUAGAUUAAUGAGACGGGUAUUUUAUUUAUCAUGGCAUUCAGUCACCAUUGUUUCUAGAUUUUUAUAAAAUCUCUAGGAAAUUUACGUGUCUGGUUGGUUUUGUUUUGUAAUGUUUUUUUUUUUAUAGAGUGUGUUAAUUUGUUGUGUGUGUAUAUCUUAUGAAUAAUAGAAAAUGUUAGUGUUUUUUUUUAAAGAUGUCAUUCUAUUAAAAAAAGCAUUACAGUCCAGCUCAUUUCAGUGUUUUCUUAGUUAAAUCCAGGGAAGCCCAAUUAGUAAUCAUUACAGCAGUCCAUUACAAAAAGAUUAACGAAAGUUAAAACAGAUUUUGUUAAGACAUGCAGCCAAGGCGGUGAAAGAAGAAACCAGAGAAUCAUGGGAUGAUCCAUCAUAGCGUCCUAGCGAUCAUCAAUUAGUUUAACUGGAGAAAUAGAGAAUCAGAAAGCCUUCAUAGUAAAGUGAGUGGCAGAUCGAGCUUACAAAAUGUUUUGUGUUUGGGUUAAUAAUAUAGAAGCGGUUACUAUCAAUUCCUCAGUCAUCCCCAUCUUCUCCAUCCUUGCUGCAGAGUUUCUUCUCCAUGUUUUCUGCCUCUUCUUAAUCUCUUCCCCUGAUUCUACUGCUGUUUCUCCUGACUUCACCAACCACAUCUGCAUAGGAUAGGGGGAACAAAGAUUUUUACAGCAAUACCAAGAGGACAGCGUUGGAAAAAAGGUAGGAGACAAACCUAGUAACUCGGUGUUGGUGAUGGCAAGCGAGAGCAGCUGGCCAUAAGAACGGAACCGGAAGAUCUCGCCAGGGAAAGGGUUGAGUGUUGCUGCAAUCUCAGUGAUUUGGUUUUGUCGUUGAAUCGGAUGGAAACAUGUAUCUCUGUCCUCUUGGUA
rnacentral:lncRNA from 1 species